rnacentral:rRNA from 1 species
UACGGGGGGAGCAAGCGUUGUUCGGAUUUACUGGGCGUAAAGGGCGCGUAGGCGGCCAGCACAAGUCAGUUGUGAAAUCUCCGAGCUUAACUCGGAAAGGUCAACUGAUACUGUGCGGCUAGAGUGGCGGAAGGGGCAACUGGAAUUCUUGGUGUAGCGGUGAAAUGCGUAGAUAUCAGGAGGAACACCAAUGGCGAAGGCAGCUCGCUGGGACGUGACUGACGCUGAGACGCGAAAGCGUGGGGAGCAAACAGG